rnacentral:lncRNA from 1 species
GCCUGAAGGACUUCCGGGAACCGCAAAGCACGGUGUGCCUCCGCUGUCCUGAAGAAAAAGCCGCGCGCGGACGACUGGCCGGCCCGCGCUUGCAGCUCCCAGAAGUUGACAGGCAUCCUCCGGUGACCGGUGUGAGUAUGGCAUCAGGAUGAUUUGACUGCAAGCAACAGAAAAAUCAAACAAAAAUGGCCUAAGCCAAGAAGAGAAAUGAUUAUUUCACAUUCCAAGAAGUUUGGGAGUCGAGUGGUUAAACGGCUAAUUAAUCUAGAGCUCAACAGUAUCACCCAGGACCCAUUUUCACUAUGGUGGCUAAAGCUCUGCACCCUUCAGGCUUGCACCAUGGCAGCAGCAGUGACAGUAAAGACACCCUUACACCACAAUGCUCCAUGACCAGGGAGAGGGUCUCCUCUCUCCUGCCCCUUUCUGGAGGCUCCACCGAAGAUUUCUCUUCACAUUCCGUUUCUCAUUCCUGAAGCAGUUGCUGGCAACAGGGAUGGACUUACCGCAAUGGGUACAGAGCAACUAAGAUUCACCACUAGGCUGGAGUGCAGUGGUACAAUCUCAGCUCACGGCAAACUCGGCCUUCUAGAUUCACGCCAUUCUCCUGCCUCAGCCUCCCAAGUAGCUGGGACUACAGGCACCCACCACCUGGCCUGGCUAAUUUUUUUUGUAUUUUUAGUAGAGACGGGGUUUCACCAUGUUAGCCAGGAUGCUCUCGAUCUCCUGACGUCGUGAUCCGCCAGCCUCGGCCUCCCAAAGUGCUGGGAUUACAGGCGUGAGCCACAGCGCCCGGCCAAUUUCACAAAUAGAUUUUUUUUCUUACUGUAAAUCUUAGCAAGCUCAGCAUACGAAUUUUUUUUUCCUUAAAUUGAAAGCUUUUACCCUUUCACUUAAAGGCAGCACUUUAUGGCUUCUCUUGGGCAUAUCCAAAUUGCUACCAUCACUACUCGUAUUAGUCCAUUUUCACGCUGCUGAUAAAGACAUACCUGAGACUGAGAAAUUUACCAAAUAAAGAGGUGUACUGGACUUACAGUUCCACAUGGCUGGGGAGGCCUCACAAUCAUGGUGGAAGGCAAGAAGGAGCAAGUCAUGUCUUACAUGGAUGGCAGCUGGCAAAGAGAAAGCUUGUACAGGGAGACUCCCGUUUUGAAAACCAUCAGAUCUUGUGAGACUCAUUCACUAUUACAAGAACAGUGCAGGAAAGAUGCACCCCUGUACUUCAAUCACCUCCCAGCAGGUUCCUCCCACGACAUGUGGGAAUUGUGGGAGUUACAAUUCAAGAUGAGAUUUGGUUGGGGACACAGCCAAACCAUAUCACUACUCUUGUGCUUUGGGGCCAUUAUGAAGUAAAACAAGCAUUAUUUGAACACAAGAACUGCAAUACCACCACAGUAGAUCUGAUAACUGUUGGCUACUAAGUGACUAAGGGGCAGGUGAAGUAUACAGCUUGGAUGCGAUGGACAAAGAGGAAGAUCUACCUCCCAGCUGGGAUGGAGCAGGACGAUGCAAGAUUUCAUCACACUACUCAGAAAGGCAUGCAGUUUAAAGCUCGUAAAUUAUUUCAGGAAUUUUCCAUUUAAUAUUUUCAGGCUGUGGCUGACCGUGAGUAACAAACCCAGGAAAGCGAAACUGCAGAACAGUGGAUGGGAGAAAGGGUGAAUUACUGUAUAUUCAUGAGGGAUAUUAGUCCAUAGUUUCUUUUUUCCCUUUUAACAAAUUUUUGGGUUUUGUAUAUAGUUUGUCUGGUUUUGGUAUCAGGGUAAUACUAGCUUCAUAAAAUGAAUUGGAAAGCGUUUCUUCUGUUUUCCUAAAAAGAUUAUAUGGAAUUAGCAUUCAUUCUUUAAACACUUGGUAGAAAUCUUAAGUAAAACCAUCUGAGCUCGGAGAUUUUUUUGUGUGUGUUAUAAAAUUACAUAUUCAGUUUCCUUAAUAUUUAUAAGAUCAUUUUAAUUAUCUGUGUUUUUCAGUGAAACGGGUCAAUUUUCUGUAUGUUGUCAAAUUAAUAUUUGUAGAAUUGUAUUAGUAUUCUUCAUUAUCCUUUUGAUGUCUGCAGAAUCUGUAAUGGUAUCCCUGUUUUAUUUCUGAUAUUAAUUUGUGCCAUUAUGUCUUUUUUUCUUUGUUGAUCUUGUCAGAAGUUUGUCAAUUUUAUCAAUUUGUUCCAAGAACCAGCUCAUU